AAUUUCUGAGUUAUUUCUCUGACUAUUACCCCUCUCUUGUAACAUUAUUUUUUUUCAUCCUACAAUAGCCUUAGUACGCUGUCGUAGCAGAAGCAGCUUGCGUUUGCCAACAUCAAGCUGACAAGAGACUGUGGCAGAUAAACUUUCUGAAUCUUUCUGGACUAGUUU